rnacentral:rRNA from 1 species
UACGUAGGGCGCGAGCGUUGUCCGGAAUUAUUGGGCGUAAAGAGCUCGUAGGCGGCUUGUUGCGUCUGCUGUGAAAUCCCGGGGCUUAACCCCGGGCGUGCAGUGGAUACGGGCAGGCUGGAGGCAGGCAGGGGAGAAUGGAAUUCCCGGUGUAGCGGUGAAAUGCGCAGAUAUCAGGAGGAACACCAGUGGCGAAGGCGGUUCUCUGGGCAUUACCUGACGCUGAGGAGCGAAAGUGUGGGGAGCGAACAGG